rnacentral:lncRNA from 1 species
AUGUGUCAGGGCACACACAAACACCCACACACGCGUGGUCACACGCAGCUCCGUGUCAGGGCACACACACACACACGUGUGGUCCCACACAAUGACACGCGUGUCCCCGCCGCUCUCCUCCUUGUCAGGGCACACACACACACACGCGUGUUCACACGCCAUGACAUGCGUGUCCCUGACUCUUUCCCCCGUCUCAGGGCACACACACACACACACACGCGUGCGCGCGGUCACACACGCAAUGACAUGCGUGUCCCUGACUCUUUCCCCCGUCUCAGGGCACACACAUGGUUCUCACACACACACGUGUGUUCACACACCAUGACACGCGUGUCCCCGACUCUUUCCCCCGUCUCAGGGCACACACGUGGAUCUCACACACACACACACAGGUGGUCACACACCAUGACACACGUGUCCCCACCACUCUCCCCCGUCUCAGGGCACAGACACACACACACACGCGUGUUCACACACAAUGACACACAUGUCCCUGACUCUUUCCCCCGUCUCAGGGCACACACACACACACACACACACACACACCAUGACACGCGUGUCCCCGACUCUUUCCCCCGUCUCAGGGCACACAGACACACACACGCGUGUUCACUCGCCAUGACACGCGUGUCCCCGCCGCUCUCCCCCAUCUCAGGGCACACACACACACACACUUGUUCACACGCCAUGACACGCGUGCCCCUGACUCUUUCUCCCAUCUCAGGGCACACACACACACGCACACGCCAUGACACGCGUGUCCCCGACUCUUUCCCCCGUCUCAGGGCACACACGUGGGUCUCACUUACACACACACACAUGGGUCUCACACACACACACAUGGGUCUCACUUACACACACACACGUGGGUCUCACUUACACGUGGGUCUCACUUACACACGUGGGUCUCACUUUCACACACACAUGUGGGUCUCACACACACACACACGUGCAUCUCACUUUCACACACGUGGGUCUCACUUUCACACACACGUGGGUCUCACUUUCACACACACGUGGGUCUCACACACACACACGUGGGUCUCACUUUCACACACACGUGGGUCUCACACACACGUGGGUCUCACACACACACACGUGGGUCUCACACACACACACGGGUCUCACUU